rnacentral:ribozyme from 12 species
UUUUUUUUUUUUUUUUUUUUUUUUUUUACUUCAAUAAAUGUGUUUAAUUUUAUCAAAAAAAG